AUUGAACGCUGGCGGCAGGCCUAACACAUGCAAGUCGAAAGAGUGGCGGACGGGUGAGUAAUGUCUGGGAAACUGCCCGAUGGAGGGGGAUAACUACUGGAAACGGUAGCUAAUACCGCAUACCAUCGGAUGUGCCCAGAUGGGAUUAGCUAGUAGGUGGGGUAACGGCUCACCUAGGCGACGAUCCCUAGCUGGUCUGAGAGGAUGACCAGCCACACUGGAACUUAGACACGGUCCAGACGCCGACGGGAGGCACAAGUGGUGAAUGUUGCACAACGGGCGCAAGCCUGAUGCAGCCAUGGCGACUGUAUGUUGAAGCACUGCGGGUUGUAAAGUCAUUUUGGCGCGGAUGUGUUACUGGCAGCAGACGCACCGGCUACCUCCGUGCCAGCAGCCGCGGUAAUUC
rnacentral:rRNA from 1 species